AUCGCUUCUCGGCCUUUUGGCUAAGAUCAAGUGUAGAAGUGGUCUAAACCAAGAGCAACAGUGUGCUGCAAAAUGUGAGAAUCAUGAAACUUUUCCUCAAUUUCAACAAUUUUGAGAGCAAUGAGACCUUGUUUCUUUUGUGAAUUCUAAAUAUGUAAUAUAUUAAUACCUAUUAAUAUUGAAUUAAU